rnacentral:lncRNA from 1 species
AAAAGAACAAAGCUGGAGGCAUCACACUACCUGACUUCAAACUAUACUACAAGGCUACAGUAACCAAAACAGCAUGGUACUGGUACCAAAACAGAGAUAUAGAUCAAUGGAAGAGAACAGAGCCCUCAGAAAUAACGCCGCAUAUCUACAACUAUCUGAUCUUUGACAAACCUGAGAAAAACAAGCAAUGGGGAAAGGAUUCCCUAUUUAAUAAAUGGUGCUGGGAAAACUGGCUAGCCAUAUGUAGAAAGCUGAAACUGGAUCCCUUCCUUACACCUUAUACAAAAAUCAGUUCAAGAUGGAUUAAAGAUUUAAACGUUAGACCUAAAACCAUAAAAACCCUAGAAGAAAACCUAGGCAUUACCAUUCAGGACAUAGGCGUGGGCAAGGACUUCAUGUCCAAAACACCAAAAGCAAUGGCAACAAAAGCCAAAAUUGACAAAUGGGAUCUAAUUAAACUAAAGAGCUUCUGCACAGCAAAAGAAACUACCAUCAGAGUGAACAGGCAACCUACAACAUGGGAGAAAAUUUUCGCAACCUACUCAUCUGACUUGCAACGUGGCCUAUAUUCUGAAAGGCAAAAAUGUUUUUAGGGAUGCUCGGCUGAUUAAUAUCUUUGUUCUGGUCCUUUGUUAAAAUUCAUCCUCCUUUCAAGUGACUAAAACAUUUAACUCAAAGCAGGGACAUAGCUGGAGUUUCUGGGGUGACUGGGGACUGCAGUGGUGGAGGCGAGAGGAAGUGUGGAGAUACAGAGGGGGACUCAAGUCUGUGCUGUGACUCUUCUUUUCCUUACUGCUUCUGAGUUUUACCAGCACCUUUAAGUCAGGUGUUGCCCCAACUUACCAAAGAACUGAAGUUCAGAAAGCUUCUCAGAUGAUUUCAUUUAUUAGUUUAUUUACUCACUUGAUUUUAUCCAUCAAUCUAUCCAUCCUUCAAUAAGCAUCUACUUAGCAGUUACUAUGUGUUAAGCUGGUGUCCAGUCCUUAUUUUUCCUUGAUAAUGAGAAAUACCUGGGACCCACAGUCUUAAAUCAUUCCAGCAUUAACUCAAAAACCCAAAGUCCAAAGUCUUGCCUGAGACAAGGCAAGGUCCUUCCACAUAUAAGCGUGUAAAAUCACUUGUUUUUGAUUUCGCAUGCUCAUAGGUGGAAGUAUCUUGUUACUUCCAAGAUACAGUGGGAGUAUAGGCAUUGGGUGAAUACUCCCAUUCCAAAAGGGAGAAAUCAGCCAAUAUAAAGGGGCCACAGGCUCCAUACAAGUCUGAAACCCAGUAGGGCAGUCAUUACAUCUUAAAGCUCCAAAGUAAUCCAGAUCCCAGAAUGGUAGCUCCACUGGCAGCUUGCACCAUGCACCUGGAAGAGCUGCAGGUACCCAACACCAGCUAAUGAGGGCAGCUGGGGGGGCUGAACCCCACCAAGUCACAGGGGUGGAGCUGUCCAAGGCUUUGACAGCCCGCCCCUUGUACCAGCAUGCCCUGGAUGUGGGACAUGGAGACAAAGGAGAUUAUUUUGGAGCUUUAAGGUUUAAUGACUUCCCUUCUAGGUUUCAGACUUAUGUGGGGCCUGUAGCCCCUUUCUUUUGGCUGAUUUCUCCCUUUUGGAAUGGGAGUGUUUACCCAGUGCCUCCACUGUAUCUUGGAAGUAACUAACUUGUUUUUGAUUU